GCAAGCUAGAGGAGCAGGCUUACUGCAAAGACAGUCAGAGAGAAGAGAUUGCACCUUGUCUGGGAAUAGCAGCUGCUUUCAGUUCUCCUUUCCUUUCAUCAUUCUGCCAGAGGCACAGCUCCUGCUCGCUGCAGGCGAGAAGCAUGCUGCAUGUUUGCAAAGAGAAAAGUUGCUGAGAAGUGAAGAUGGAUGGAUGCUGCCUGUUUGCUCUUACGACUGCAGCAAAUAACUUCAGCCUGUGACUCCUACGUACACUGCUGGGGGGAGUCCUUCCUGCAAGCAGCUGAAGGAAGGUGGAAUUUGCCAAGUAGACUCUGGGCAAAUCUUGCACCCUGAGGUGGGAGCUGGUUCUCCCACAUCCCACAGCAGUGCUGCAGGAAGCAUCUCAUGGUAGGAGGAACGAGGGGAGCAUCACCUCCAGCUGCAGGGUGGCCCCUGGCCUUCACAGUAUUUUCCCAUCAGAGCACCAUCCAGUAACAUCCCACCGCAAAGAGGGGCAGAGCUGCCUCCUGCCUAGAAGCAGAGGCAUUCUGAUUUUCUCACCUGGUCCCAGCACUGGCUGUUUACAGCGUGUGCUGCUUGCUUGCAGAGGGCUUGCAGGGCUGCGCUCCCAUGGAAGAAGAACCAGAGAUGAAAGCAAAUCCUUUCUUAUGGCAUAAUGGCUGGUGGUGAUGAGAAGCUGUUCUCAGGUAGGAUGUGGUCAGCCUGGCUCUCUCUGAGGUCAGUAAAGGAGCAGAAAAUGUCACUUCUCUGAAGCAGUCACCUCUGAUGAUGGCUACUAGAGGUGGCUCUGGGGCCUUUCUUAGAAGAACCUCUGGAACACUAGUAGUUGAUGGACUUUGUAUUGCAAAUUCUGUGCUCCCCACAUCUCCCUGUCCAGGCUUGGAUUAGUAAAGACAUACACACUGAAAACGUCUCCUCUCAGACCUUUGCAUAUUCAGCAUCAGUUUGGUGAAUAAAAUUUCCCUGGUAUCAAGAGAAAUUUUAGCACAGAAUGAGUCAAGAGCUUCCUAAGCACUGUAAGAGAACCACAGUAGGUAACCAAGGUGAGAAAUCUUAUCCUCACGUCUCUCUUAUUCAUGCUGUGAAAGUCUUUAUGAUAAACUUGGUUAAAAUACUUUGUGAAAUAUUAACUA